rnacentral:rRNA from 1 species
AUUGAACGCCGGCGGCAGGCCUAACACAUGCAAGUUGAGCGAGCGGCGGACGGGUGAGUAAUGUAUGGGGACUGCCCGAUAGCGGGGGAUAACUACUGGAAACGGUGUCUAAUACCGCAUACUAUCGGAUAACCCAUAUGGGAUUAGCUAGUAGGUGUGGUAAAGGCUCACCUAGGCGACGCUCUCUAGCUGGUCUGAGAGGAGGAUCAGCCACACUGGGACUUGGGCGCGGCCCAGACUCCUACGGAGGCAUCAGUGGGGAAUAUUGCACAAUGGGCGCAAGCCUGAUGCAGCCAUGCCGCGUGUAUGAAGAAGGCCUUAGGGUUGUAAGGUACUUUCAGCGGGGAGGCGUUACCCGCAGAAGGAACACCGGCUAACUCCGUGCCAGCCGCCGCGGUAAUAC